UGGAUCUAGUCAGGGCCAGAGACUGACUUUCUUGGAAUUUUUGGGCAUGGGAAACGUGACUUGAAUCAAUAAUUUUCUGAUGGUUGAAGCUAUUAAGGACUUGAAACUCAGAAUUUGUUGGUUGCUGUUUUUCACCAAAAGGACAAAGUCUGGAGGCUAGAAGGUUGAAAUCAAGGUAUUAGCAGAGCCAUGUUUCCUCUGAAGGCUGUAGCCUUACAUCUUUGAGAGCAGCUGUUGACUGGGGAC